GGGGAAUUUUGGACAAUGGGCGAAAGCCUGAUCCAGCCAUGCCGCGUGCAGGAUGAAGGCCUUCGGGUUGUAAACUGCUUUUGUACGGAACGAAAAAGUCUUCUCUAAUACAGGGGGCGAAUGACGGUACCGUAAGAAUAAGCACCGGCUAACUACGUGCCAGCAGCCGCGGUAAUACGUAGGGUGCAAGCGUUAAUCGGAAUUACUGGGCGUAAAGCGUGCGCAGGCGGUUAUAUAAGACAGAUGUGAAAUCCCCGGGCUCAACCUGGGAACUGCAUUAGUGACUGUAUAGCUAGAGUGCGGCAGAGGGGGAUGGAAUUCCGCGUGUAGCAGUGAAAUGCGUAGAUAUGCGGAGGAACACCGAUGGCGAAGGCAAUCCCCUGGGCCUGCACUGACGCUCAUGCACGAAAGCGUGGGGAGCAAAC
rnacentral:rRNA from 1 species